AUUUAUCUAAUAUAAGAAGUAUAUUUGACUUCCAAUCAAAAAGUUUGAGAUACAAGAUAAAUA
rnacentral:tRNA from 1 species